rnacentral:rRNA from 1 species
GUAGGGAAUCUUCGGCAAUGGACGAAAGUCUGACCGAGCAACGCCGCGUGAAGGAAGAAGUAUCUCGGUAUGUAAACUUCUAUCAGCAGGGAAGAAAAUGACGGUACCUGACUAAGAAGCCCCGGCUAACUACGUGCCAGCAGCCGCGGUAAUACGUAGGGGGCAAGCGUUAUCCGGAUUUACUGGGUGUAAAGGGAGCGUAGACGGAAGAGCAAGUCUGAUGUGAAAGGCUGGGGCUUAACCCCAGGACUGCAUUGGAAACUGUUUUUCUAGAGUGCCGGAGAGGUAAGCGGAAUUCCUAGUGUAGCGGUGAAAUGCGUAGAUAUUAGGAGGAACACCAGUGGCGAAGGCGGCUUACUGGACGGUAACUGACGUUGAGGCUCGAAAGCGUGGGGAGCAAACAGGA